rnacentral:rRNA from 1 species
GGGGAAUAUUGCGCAAUGGGGGAAACCCUGACGCAGCGACGCCGUGUGAGGGAAGAAGGCUUUCGGGUCGUAAACCUCUGUCGGGAAGGAAGAACCCCCCAGGUCCGAAUAGGGCCUGGGGCUGACGGUACUUCCAAAGGAAGCACCGGCUAACUCCGUGCCAGCAGCCGCGGUAAUACGGAGGAUCCGAGCGUUAUCCGGAUUUAUUGGGUUUAAAGGGUGCUCAGGCGGGGGAUUAAGUCGGCGGUGAAAUUUUGCGGCUCAACCGUAAAAGUGCCUUCGAAACUGGUUUCCUUGAGUGUGGAUGAGGUAGGCGGAAUUUGUGGUGUAGCGGUGAAAUGCAUAGAUAUCACGAGGAACUCCGAUUGCGCAGGCAGCUUACUAAGCCAUAACUGACGCUCAAGCACGAAGGCGUGGGGAUCAAACA